UAGAAAGUAAUAUAAAGGGAGUAUGGAGGGUUUUGAUCUCUCUAGUGCGGGUUCGAUUCCUGCUUUUCUAA
rnacentral:tRNA from 3 species